rnacentral:rRNA from 1 species
GACGAACCGUGCGAACGUUGUUCGGAAUCACUGGGCAUAAAGGGCGCGUAGGCGGCUUAUCAAGUCAGGGGUGAAAUCCGGCAGCUCAACUGUCGAAGUGCCUUUGAUACUGAUGAGCUCGAGGGAGGUAGGGGUCUGUGGAACUUCCGGUGGAGCGGUGAAAUGCGUUGAUAUCGGAAGGAACGCCGGUGGCGAAAGCGACGGACUGGACCUCUUCUGACGCUGAGGCGCGAAAGCCAGGGGAGCAAACGGG